rnacentral:rRNA from 1 species
AGUCACUGACAUUAGAUACCCGGGUAGUCCCAGCCGUAAACUAUGCGCGUUAGGUGUAUCGGUGACCACGAGUUACCGAGGUGCCGAAGGGAACCGUGAAACGUGCCGCCUGGGAAGUACGGUCGCAAGGCUGAAACUUAAAGGAAUUGGCGGGGGAGCACAACAACGGGUGGAGCCUGCGGUUUAAUUGGACUCAACGCCGGACAACUCACCGGGGACGACAGCAAUAUGUAGGCCAGGCUGAAGACCUUGCCUGAAUCGCUG